GGUCCUGUGGCGCAAUGGAUAACGCAUCUGACUACGGAUCAGAAGAUUCCAGGUUCGAGUCCUGGCAGGAUCG
rnacentral:tRNA from 1 species